rnacentral:tRNA from 1 species
GCGGUCGUGGCGAAACACGGCAAACGCGCCGGCUCGAGAAGCCGGUGGGCAUCACGCCCUUGUGGGUUCAACUCCCGCCGACCGCA